GAGGCGUGGCUUAGAGACCGGGGAGGCGGGGCUUCGCUUAUAGUCGUCUUAAGUAUGCCAGAGCAUCCACCCGCUGUAGUUGUCUCUGGAGAGAAACAAACUUCGUAAAGCUGUAUUGCUCUCUGGUGGCGCUGUUUGGACAGGAUGUAGAAUCUUUGGGACAUCAGACCUAGCUGGCAGGCAGCUGGGGAGCAGGCCUUGAGGGUUAUAGCCCUGCCCUGCUUCCAGUCCUCUCUCCUACUGGAGCCAUCAAGAUGGAAAGGAGCCAUGUCCUGGUCUUCAUGCUUUCCCUGUCAUAAUGGACUACACUUCCAGACCUCUCUUGUGCACCUGGCCAGAUCUCCAGCAGAAUCCUGGCUGCCUUUACCAGGAUGGCCACAAGCUUUUCAAAGUAGCAUGUCUCAAACUGAGUGGAUUCUCUAGCCAGCUCUCCCCAUAUUUCCCAUUUGGGUAAAGUGCUGGUGGCUGGUGGCUGUGUCAGAGGAGCAGCAGGUGGCAAUUGAAGUUAGAGGUGUCAGUCCACCAAGAGGCGAAUCCCUGAUGGGUGAAUCUCGGAUAGAUUAUGACAAGUUCAGUGACUUGAGAGCACAAAUGUAUCAUUGCUGGCUCUGGAGGUGAUCUGAGCAUUUACCCCAAUAUCUGGCUCCGGGCUUUUUAUUAUAAGACCUUUAGAAAUUCAAGCAACAUCUGGCGCCCAAUGUGGUAAGUGAUAAGCCCAGUGAGUAAAACCCAAGUUGGGCUCCAGGCAGUAAGCGUUGCAGCUCAUGUCCAGAGGCGUGACCUACAACCAGAUGGGCGAUUCUCUUCAAAGCUCUCAGAAGUGAACUGGGCGACAGUACCAUGGCAGAACAGGAUGUGGAAAAUGAGCUUUUGGAUUAUGAUGAAGAUGAAGAGCCCCAAGCACCCCAGGAGAGCACUACAGCUCCCCCAAAGAAAGAUGUCAAAGGAUCUUAUGUCUCCAUUCACA